GUACACUCCUGCGGGAGGCAGCAGUGGGGAAUAUUGGACAAUGGGCGCAAGCCUGAUCCAGCCAUGCCGCGUGAGCGAUGAAGGCCCUAGGGUUGUAAAGCUCUUUCACCGGUGAAGAUAAUGACGGUAACCGGAGAAGAAGCCCCGGCUAACUUCGUGCCAGCAGCCGCGGUAAUACGAAGGGGGCUAGCGUUGUUCGGAUUUACUGGGCGUAAAGCGCACGUAGGCGGACUAUUAAGUCAGGGGUGAAAUCCCGGGGCUCAACCCCGGAACUGCCUUUGAUACUGGUAGUCUUGAGUUCGAGAGAGGUGAGUGGAAUUCCGAGUGUAGAGGUGAAAUUCGUAGAUAUUCGGAGGAACACCAGUGGCGAAGGCGGCUCACUGGCUCGAUACUGACGCUGAGGUGCGAAAGCGUGGGGAGCAAACAGGAUUAGAAACCCGAGUAGACCCAUGAG
rnacentral:rRNA from 1 species